CUGGCAUUUUGUUUUGCCAAAAACUUGAAUAUCUAAUCAUAUAACAUGAGUUAGAAGAAAUGCUGGUUUUGGGUCCUUCUUUAGCCACUGAAGGAGUGAUUCCUUCAGAAAGAUAUUCUUCCCUUUGACUGUAAAAGGAACCUUAUGUUCUUCACUUAAGUGAAUAUAAUUAAACGUUUUUGGGAGAAACCUCUGGAGAUCUUUAACACAACUCCUCCAUCAGACAGAAUGUCUGUCUCCAAAGAAAGGGACAGGACAUAAUGGGCCAGACAAGAAUGUACCUAACGAAGCACAGAACAGCAUGAGAUCUGUGAAGGCUGAACACACCCAGCUCCCUCAGCUGCUCCUCAUCAGACCCAUGCUCCAGACCCUUCUCCAGCUCCAUUCCUUCCUCUGGCAGGCUCAG